GAUGAACGCUGGCGGCGUGCCUAAUACAUGCAAGUCGAGCGAACAGAUGAGGAGCUUGCUCCUCUGACGUUAGCGGCGGACGGGUGAGUAACACGUGGAUAACCUACCUAUAAGACUGGGAUAACUUCGGGAAACCGGAGCUAAUACCGGAUAAUAUAUUGAACCGCAUGGUUCAAUAGUGAAAGACGGUUUUGCUGUCACUUAUAGAUGGAUCCGCGCCGCAUUAGCUAGUUGGUAAGGUAACGGCUUACCAAGGCAACGAUGCGUAGCCGACCUGAGAGGGUGAUCGGCCACACUGGAACUGAGACACGGUCCAGGCUCCUGCGGGAGGCAGCAGUAGGGAAUCGGCCGCAAUGGGCGAGAGCCUGACGGAGCAACGCCGCGUGAGUGAUGAAGGUCUUCGGAUCGUAAAACUCUGUUAUUAGGGAAGAACAAAUGUGUAAGUAACUAUGCACGUCUUGACGGUACCUAAUCAGAAAGCCACGGCUAACUACGUG
rnacentral:rRNA from 1 species